AGGCUUGUGGCUCAAUUGGCUAGAGCAUCGGACUCCAAAUCCGAGGGUUGGGGGUUCAAGUCCCUCCAGGCCUGCCA
rnacentral:tRNA from 1 species